CUCCUGGAUUCCCUAGUAGCGGCGAGCGAAGCGGGAAGAGCUCAAAUUUGUAAUCUGGCGCUUUCAGCGUCCGAGUUGUAAUCUCUAGAAAUGUUUUCCGCGUUGGACCGCACACAAGUCUGUUGGAAUACAGCGGCACAGUGGUGAGACCCCCGUUCAUGGUGCGGAUGCCCAAUGCUUUGUGAUACAUUUUCGAAGAGUCGAGUUGUUUGGGAAUGCAGCUCAAAUUGGGUGGUAAAUUCCAUCUAAAGCUAAAUAUUGGCGAGAGACCGAUAGCGAACAAGUACCGUGAGGGAAAGAUGAAAAGCACUUUGGAAAGAGAGUUAACAGUACGUGAAAUUGUUGGAAGGGAAACGCUUGAAGUCAGACUUGCUGUUCGGAGUUCAGCCGCAAGGUGUACUCUCCGAGUUGCAGGCCAGCAUCAGUUUUUCGGGGUGGAAAAUCACGGUUUGAAGGUAGCAGUUUCGGCUGUGUUAUAGCUUUCCGUUGGAUACAUCCUGGGGGACUGAGGAACGCAGUGUGCUUUUAGCGGAGGUUUCGACCUCUUCACACUUAGGAUGCUGGUGGAAUGGCUUUAAACGACCCGUCUUG
rnacentral:rRNA from 1 species